GGAGGCGGAUGGGUCCUGGUGGGCUCCGCGGUCUUCAAAACCGACGUGGGGCGUGAAGAGCGUCCUGGGUGUGUUCGAUUCGCACACGCCUCCGCCA
rnacentral:tRNA from 1 species